GAAGCGAGCCAGGCCGCCGCUGGUGCACCACGCCGAAAGGCGGCACUGGAGGAAGGUCCGGACUGCACAGGGCAGCGCAGCAGCUAACGGCUGUCCACCGCGAGGUGAGGAUCAGAGCAACAGAGACGAGUCGUCGGCCGUGCCGAGAGGCGCGAUCGGCGGGUGAAACGGGCAAUCUCUGCGCGCAGCAAUACCAAAUAGGCGCGCACCGGGCGCGCCGGCUUGCCGGGGCGCCCGAGUCGUCGGCCCGACGACCGCGUGCGGGUAGGUAGCACCGAGCCGGGCAGCGAUGCCCGGCCCAGAUGAAUGGCGGCCACGGCCGUUCCGUCGCAAGGCGGGCCGGCUGCACAGAAUCCGGCCUAUCGGCUCGCUUCACAC
rnacentral:RNase_P_RNA from 1 species